AUUGAACGCUGGCGGCAGGCCUAACACAUGCAAGUCGAACGAGUGGCGGACGGGUGCGUAAUGUCUGGGAAACUGCCCGAUGGAGGGGGAUAACUACUGGAAACGGUAGCUAAUACCGCAUACCAUCGGAUGUGCCCAGAUGGGAUUAGCUAGUAGGUGGGGUAACGGCUCACCUAGGCGACGAUCCCUAGCUGGUCUGAGAGGAUGUCCGACCAAGAAUGAAAUGAGGCACGGAACAGACUCCAACGGGAGGCAGAAGUGGGGAAUAUUGAGCAAUGGGCGAAAGCCGGAGGCAGCCAUGCCGAGUGUAUGAAAAAGGCCUUCGGGUUGUAAAAGACUUUCAGCGAGGAGGGGUUACUCGCAGAAGAAGCACCGGCGAACUCCGUGCAAGCAGCCGCGGUAAUUC
rnacentral:rRNA from 1 species